UGGGGAAUAUUGCACAAUGGGCGAAAGCCUGAUGCAGCAACGCCGCGUGAGGGAAGACGGUUUUCGGAUUGUAAACCUCUGUCCUUGGUGAAGAAAGAAAUGACGGUAGCCGAGGAGGAAGCCACGGCUAACUACGUGCCAGCAGCCGCGGUAAUACGUAGGUGGCGAGCGUUGUCCGGAAUUACUGGGUGUAAAGGGAGCGUAGGCGGGUCGACAAGUCAGUGGUGAAAUACAUGGGCUUAACCCAUGAAUUGCCAUUGAAACUGCCGGUCUUGAGUGGAUCAGAGGCAAGCGGAAUUCCGAGUGUAGCGGUGAAAUGCGUAGAUAUUCGGAGGAACACCAGUGGCGAAGGCGGCUUGCUGGUCUGUAACUGACGCUGAGGCUCGAAAGCGUGGGGAGCAAACAGG
rnacentral:rRNA from 2 species